AAGUCUGAGUCACUACAGUCUAUACAGUCCAGAUUUGAAAAAGCCCUAAUCACAUUAAUCAUUUUCUUUCCCUUCCAUAUAAGUCCAGGAUCUGACACCUUGAGUGGACCUCAUGACCCACCUUCCACUCAAGAAGUAAAGCCAGGGCUGAAUUUCCUGCUGCUACAGAUGGCUGAGAAGAGGAAGAAAAUCCCUGAAAACUGCUGGUGGCUGUUUGGUUGGGUACAUGCCUACCUGAGUCUUGAGAAGACAUCUGUUCCUUAGCAAACCUCGUCUGGACAGAGGAAAAAAAAAGGUCUUAAAAACAAAAUUCACAUUUGGAAAAAUAAGGUUAUCCAAAUCUUGUUUUGCCUUUGACUUCAAAGGACUCCUAUAUAGGAUAAACUUUGAGGAAUAUGAAAAGAGAAGGAUUUGGCUCAAAGAACAGAAGGAUCAAAUCAAAGUACAAAGUUGUGAGAAAAGCCUGAAAAACAUUUCAGUGCGGUUGAAGCCAUUGGCCGUGCACUUUGAACAAAACCAAGUUCACUCAGAGAAAUGAACGAAGUAAAGAAGCAGGUGAUGCUAACGAUGGCAUUUUAAUUGUUAUAAUUGAAUAAUAUAACUUACUUAAGCUUGAAGAAUUUUAUCUUUUUAUCCAAAGCCAAAGAAAACUGAUAUAUAUUAUUGAA